rnacentral:rRNA from 1 species
GUAGUUUUUUGGAUGAAAGAUGACCAAUCCAUGGAAGUUGUCGUUCAGGGAGGGGCCCGCGUCCCAUUAGCUUGUUGGUAGGGUAAUGGCCUACCAAGGCUACGAUGGGUAGCUGGUCUGAGAGGAUGAUCAGCCACACUGGCACUGAAACACGGGCCAGACUCCUACGGGAGGCAGCAGUGAGGAAUUUUGCGCAAUGGGGGAAACCCUGACGCAGCAACGCCGCGUGGGUGAAGAAGGCUUUCGGGUCGUAAAGCCCUGUCAGGUGGGAAAAAAUAUCCCUGGUUAAUAGCCAGGGGAGCUGAUGGUACCACCAGAGGAAGCACCGGCUAACUCCGUGCCAGCAGCCGCGGUAAUACGGAGGGUGCUAGCGUUGUUCGGAAUUACUGGGCGUAAAGAGCGUGUAGGCGGCCUGAUAAGUCAGAUGUGAAAGCCCUGGGCUUAACUCAGGAAGUGCAUUUGAAACUGUCAGGCUUGAGUAUGGGAGAGGAGAGUGGAAUUCCCAGUGUAGAGGUGAAAUUCGUAGAUAUUGGGAGGAACACCCGUGGCGAAGGCGACUCUCUGGACCAAUACUGACGCUGAGACGCGAAAGCGUGGGGAGCAAACAGGAUUAGAUACCCUGGUAGUCCACGCCGUAAACGAUGAGCACUAGGUGUAGCGGGUAUUGACCCCUGCUGUGCCGCAGCUAACGCAUUAAGUGCUCCGCCUGGGGAGUACGGCCGCAAGGCUAAAACUCAAAGGAAUUGACGGGGCCCGCACAAGCGGUGGAGCAUGUGGUUUAAUUCGACGCAACGCGAAGAACCUUACCUGGGUUUGACAUCCUCUGACUGCUUCGGAAACGUAGUUUUCCCUGCUUGCAGGGACAGAGUGACAGGUGCUGCAUGGCUGUCGUCAGCUCGUGUCGUGAGAUGUUGGGUUAGGUCCCGCAACGAGCGCAACCCCUGUCUUUAGUUGCCAAUAUUAAGUUAGGAACUCUAAAGAUACUGCCUCGGCUAACGGGGAGGAAGGUGGGGAUGACGUCAAGUCCUCAUGGCCUUUAUACCCAGGGCUACACACGUGCUACAAUGGACGGUACAAAGGGCUGCGACAUCGCGAGGUGAAGCAAAUCCCAAAAAGCCGUUCUCAGUUCGGAUCGGAGUCUGCAACUCGACUCCGUGAAGUCGGAAUCGCUAGUAAUUGUGGAUCAGCAUGCCACAGUGAAUACGUUCCCGGGCCUUGUACACACCGCCCGUCACACCACGAAAGUCGGCUGUACCAGAAGUUGCUGGGCUAACCCUUCGGGGAUGCAGGUACCUAAGGUACGGUUGGUAAUUGGGGUGAAGUCGUAACAAGGUA